UACGUAGGUGGCAAGCGUUAUCCGGAUUUAUUGGGCGUAAAGAGAACGCAGGCGGUCUUUUAAGUCUGAUGUGAAAGCCUUCGGCUUAACCGGAGUAGUGCAUUGGAAACUGGGAGACUUGAGUGCAGAAGAGGAGAGUGGAACUCCAUGUGUAGCGGUGAAAUGCGUAGAUAUAUGGAAGAACACCAGUGGCGAAAACGGCUCUCUGGUCUGUAACUGACGCUGAGGUUCGAAAGCGUGGGUAGCAAACAGG
rnacentral:rRNA from 1 species